UUCAGAUGGAUAAAUUUUGUUUUUCAAAGUAUAUAUUUCAGUUUGUCUUGUCGCAGAAGUGAACCGCGUGCAUCCAAAUUCGUUCAAGGUGAUGUUGUAUUGUGUGAAUGGAGGAGGGGAGGCUAAUAAUUUUCGAUCUUGUUGUGAAUAACUUUGAACCUGAAGUUGGACAAGUGUUUACCGAUUAUGGAUAUAUGUGUACAUACAUUCGUUCACAUUUUUAUGUCAUCUAAGAUUAUUUCAUAACUUAGUGUUUGGCUAUAUAAAUUGCGGCACACAUUUCCAAAUAUGUAGUUUUCAUAGAGUAUCCGUGAGAAGGAAUAAUGAAAUUUGCGAGCAUUUUUGCAUUUGCUGCGUUCGCAUUAGUCCUCUUUGUCGGCUCUGGUGCUGCGAGGAGUCAUCACCAUAAGGACAAAGUGGCACGCGAUGGAAAAUUGUUCGACCCCAUCAAUAAAACCUAUUUUCCCAAGUUUAAAUAGAAUUGGAAUUCGGAGUCGCUUGAAUUGAAUUUAAUAAAAGAGAUAUGCAUGAAAA